AAACCCUACACUUAAGCAAAAAAAAAACAACAGAUUGACCCAAAAACCAAAACCUCACUCCUCACUCUUGACAACGCUCCACGCUCUCUCGAAAGAAACCCGGAACCUUUGCUCUCUUCUUCGACAAAGCUCUCUCUCUCUCUCUCUCUUUCUCUCUCUCUCUCUCUCUCUUUCCUAGACAAACCCCGACCUCUCCUGUCUACAAACCCUAUCUCUUCUUCAACAAACCCCAACCAAAGUGCUCUCUCUCUUCGACAAAAGACCAAAACCUAAUGGGUUAUUCGAGCUCUACUCCAACUGGGCUCAGGCCAACAUCAAAUCCAAAAAUCUCACAGAUCUUUCGACAGUGGUGUGUUGCAUUUGGCUAAAUCGAAAUUCAGUUAUGGGUAACUGAGAUUUGAAUUCGAACAAUGGAGUUGUGGAUUUGGGAUUGAAGGCAAAAUGUCAAAUUGGGGCUAAGAAGGUUUCUGGAGUUGUGAUGCUGCUGCCGAUGGGGCUCUUGG